rnacentral:rRNA from 1 species
GUAACCUGCCUGUAAGACUGGGAUAACUCCGGGAAACCGGGGCUAAUACCGGAUGCUUGUUUGAACCGCAUGGUUCAAACAUAAAAGGUGGCUUCGGCUACCACUUACAGAUGGACCCGCGGCGCAUUAGCUAGUUGGUGAGGUAAUGGCUCACCAAGGCAACGAUGCGUAGCCGACCUGAGAGGGUGAUCGGCCACACUGGGACUGAGACACGGCCCAGACUCCUACGGGAGGCAGCAGUAGGGAAUCUUCCGCAAUGGACGAAAGUCUGACGGAGCAACGCCGCGUGAGUGAUGAAGGUUUUCGGAUCGUAAAGCUCUGUUGUUAGGGAAGAACAAGUGCCGUUCAAAUAGGGCGGCACCUUGACGGUACCUAACCAGAAAGCCACGGCUAACUACGUGCCAGCAGCCGCGGUAAUACGUAGGUGGCAAGCGUUGUCCGGAAUUAUUGGGCGUAAAGGGCUCGCAGGCGGUUUCUUAAGUCUGAUGUGAAAGCCCCCGGCUCAACCGGGGAGGGUCAUUGGAAACUGGGGAACUUGAGUGCAGAAGAGGAGAGUGGAAUUCCACGUGUAGCGGUGAAAUGCGUAGAGAUGUGGAGGAACACCAGUGGCGAAGGCGACU